ACGAACUGUGCGAACGUUAUUCGGAAUCACUGGGCUUACAGGGUGCGUAGGCGGCUUGUUAAGUAGGGUGUGAAAGGCUUCGGCUCAACCGGAGCAUUGCGCUCUAGACUGCUUGGCUCGAGUGAGAUAGGGGUGUGCGGAACUUCCAGUGGAGCGGUGAAAUGUGUUGAUAUUGGAAGGAACGCCGGUGGCGAAAGCGGCACACUGGGUCUUAACUGACGCUGAGGCACGAAAGCCAGGGGAGCGAACGGGA
rnacentral:rRNA from 1 species